rnacentral:rRNA from 1 species
UACGGAGGGAGCUAGCGUUGUUCGGAAUUACUGGGCGUAAAGCGCGCGUAGGCGGCUUUGUAAGUUAGAGGUGAAAGCCCGGGGCUCAACCCCGGAACUGCCUUUAAGACUGCAUCGCUUGAAUCCAGGAGAGGUGAGUGGAAUUCCGAGUGUAGAGGUGAAAUUCGUAGAUAUUCGGAAGAACACCGGUGGCGAAGGCGGCUCACUGGACUGGUAUUGACGCUGAUGUGCGAAAGCGUGGGGAGCAAACAGG